GCGGCUCGCACUGCAAGGGGGCGUGGCCUCAACUCCCGGGGCCGCCGCCGAAACUCGGGGGCCGCGCUUUGGCCGCAAGUACAAAGCGAGCUGGUGGCCGCUCUGCGGCACGGCCCCUGGCGCGCGCCUCCCCGCGGGCCGCCGCCCCCACCUCCACCCCACCCCCGCGUCCCCGGAGCCGCCCGAAAACGCCGUUGGAACGCAGAUUCCCGCCUUUCCCCGGUUCCCCCCCACCCCCGCCCCCGCCCCGGCAUGUGUCAGGGGAAAUCGGUUUCCCUUUUUCAAAAUGGCUUGGGUCAUCUCAACGGUUUGUGGGUUCCGGAGGCACGCCCCAGUCUCCCUGCACCUCCAUCGGGAUUGACAGAGCAGGUCUCCUUGUCCCCUGCCUGAAGGACACUCCAGUCAUUUCUCCUUUCCGGGCGGGCCCAGGGGCCUCCCAACAGCUUCCCUCUGGGACAUUCAAAGGUUGCACAUUGCACUUAAGUAUUUGAAGUAUUUAUAGGCUGAUACAAUGGCCGGGGAAGCUUCGCGCCCAAGACAGCUCCUCCCGCCACUUACCACACAGACUGUAAUUAGAGUGACUUGGUGACCGGGGCAGGCUGAGGCCAAACCUGCACCGGUUUCCUCGUUUCAUCCAGGCCUGCCUGGCUGGCUGCGCCUGAGACGUGCCAAGACCACAGUUUCCUCCACUUGGAAUCGCUGGAGGAUCCCUUCCUCUCGGACACAGAGCCUGGGGGCUGAAGGGAAAACAGAUAGAUGGUCCAGACACGCUGCUUCUGGGCUGAUCAUGGAGGAGACCCACGUGGAGAACGUUACAGACCCCAUCUGCCUGACCUCCCAAGAAGACAGUCCUGCGAAGAGCCAAAAACAUCUUAAACUCCAGCCUGUCAUGGAGGAAAAAAAUGCAAGAAGAGUCAGCUGCCCCCUGCAGACCCUCAAUUAUGAAAGAGAAAGAAAACUGCAAUGCUCUGAAGGAAUAUAAAAAGCAGAACAUUUUGUGAGUCUAUUUGGAAGUUUUUUUUUUAAGCACAACAGUUUAUAUGGGGAAACAUGCUUGUCCCUAGUUUCCUAAGACAUAAAUUGUCAGUUUAGGAGUCAUGUCCCAUGGAUGGCACAAAUGCUCACUUUCAGUAGUAGAUGAGUUAAGAGCUCACCCAACCUAGACUGUGGAGAUUCAGACCUCCAGAAACCUUCCUAUUUACAGGUAGACAAUACUCUCUUGGAGCAGACUAACCACCAUCUUGGUAAGAGCAGCUGUGUCUGCUUGCAGAAGAUCGUCCCAGCUGGCCUUGUUAACUGUUGACAUUCCCUCAUUGAAGGGGGUGGGGUAGGAAGGAAAAGUCAUUGGAUCUUCCUAAACAUUCAGCUACACCCCCAAGCCAGUCAUCUGCGACUCUGCAGCUUUGCAUGUGGUCUCUGGGAUCUUGGAGAGGGGGCCGAGCAUAUGAUCUGGGAAAGGGAAGAGGCUCCAUCUUCACAAUCAUGUACUGAGUAUUGACGGUCUGGUGUGUCUGCUUCAAGGUCUUGGCGCUCCUGUCCAUAACCACACACCCAUGUUCCCUAAGUAAGCCAAAUAAAGUCACUGGCCUCCA